UACAGAGGGGGCGAGCGUUAUUCGGAAUUAUUGGGCGUAAAGGGCGCGUAGGCGGCCGAGCAAGUCUUGGGUGAAAUCCCUCGGCUCAACCGAGGAACUGCCUUGGAAACUGCUCGGCUCGAGGCCGGGAGAGGGUGGUGGAAUUCCCAGUGUAGCGGUGAAAUGCGUAGAUAUUGGGAGGAACACCAGUGGCGAAGGCGGCCACCUGGACCGGUCCUGACGCUGAGGCGCGAAAGCGUGGGGAGCAAACAGGAUUAGAUACCCCCGUAGUCC
rnacentral:rRNA from 1 species